rnacentral:rRNA from 1 species
GACGAACGCGGCGGCGUGCCUAAUACAUGCAAGUCGAGCGAAGUUUUUCUGGUGCUUGCACUAGAAAAACUUAGCGGCGAACGGGUGAGUAACACGUAAAGAACCUGCCUCAUAGACUGGGACAACUAUUGGAAACGAUAGCUAAUACCGGAUAACAGCAUUAACUGCAUGGUUGAUGUUUGAAAGUUGGUUUUGCUAACACUAUGAGAUGGCUUGCGGUGCAUUAGCUAGUUGGUGGGGUAAAGGCCUACCAAGGCGACGAUGCAUAGCCGACCUGAGAGGGUGAUCGGCCACACUGGGACUGAGACACGGCCCAGACUCCUACGGGAGGCAGCAGUAGGGAAUCUUCCGCAAUGGGCGAAAGCCUGACGGAGCAACGCCGCGUGAGUGAAGAAGGA